GCUCGUUCGUACGGGAGAAUUGAUACAAAAAUCCAAUUGAAUAUGUCCAUUUGUUCUAUUAUGUCCACCAAAAACAUGUUUUAUCGCAUCUACAAAUGUCAACAUGGGACGCGUACUGUUUCGGACUGAUCUUCUGUUUACUGGUACAUACUCAGCAAACGGGACCAUGUUCUUUCAACCGAUGAUUGGAGAGGGUCGUUACUGGGUGGUAUUAAAAAACUUAGAAGUGGAAUUAUUUGCACCUUACAACAUAGCUAGAAAUGAUUUUGGUGAAGAAAUCAUAGAGUCAUCGGAAUAUAAUUUCCGAUUUGACGUUAAAGAUAAAGCAGAAUUUCGCUUUGACAAUUUAUACUACGGAGACACUGAACUUAGUGAUAUAAUGCACUCACUCUUCAAUAACAAUUGGAAGUUCGCAACAAAUCAUUAUGGGAGAGUUUUCAUAUCAAAAGUCGUUGAUACCAUGGCGAAGGCAUAUAAAAAUUAUUUUCGUUUAGCACCUUUAAGAUCGCUGAUCGAAUAUUAACAAUAUGUUAAUAUUCGAUCGUAGUCAUUAAGAAAAAAGAUUAAUAUUUCGCUGGACCUUGUAAUCUUUUACAGAUUUAUAGUGAUUACCUUUAUUAUUUAUCCUGUUCUAUAAAAUAUUUCUGCAUUUAGUGCAUAUAUCUGAAUAUUUAAACUAUUUUGUAUGCCACAAUAUAAAGUCAUUCGGUUCAAGAGCACGAACUUUGCCUUUUUCUUUAGCUUUGUUUUUAUCAUGGUCAUUGUCAUUGUUAAUUAGGGUACGAUGAGACUGACAUGUUAUUUACAAUAAAAGUCCCUUAAAACUUAUAGAUAAAAAAAAAGUUUGCCUUUCUUAAUUACACCACAAUCUAAUUUUUAGAUUAUGUGCUUAUACAAGACAUGCUUUAUAAACACAAGUAUUUAUUAUCCUGGUUGAGAUAUAUUAUGCAGAUUUUUAACCACUAAAAUCUGAAAUGUUUCCCGAAUAAGAGGUAAAAGAUCUCAGAGCUAUCUGACACAUCUUAUUCUACCUCAGUAUCAUACCAUAACAAACAAAAAAGAAUUAUUCAAAUCGAUCCAGGCAUCUUCGAGUAUUUGAGUAACAUACAAGCAACUUUCUUUUAGUUACCUUUCUCACCUGGUACCUGCCAGGGGUUACAAGUCUCCACAAACACGCAGGUAUUCAAAGCAAGUGAGACGCUAUUAAAAGCACAAGGUUUCAUAUGUGUAAAAAUAAGCUCGCUCUGGGAAUUUGGUGUAUAAUAAUUUGUCUAUGAUAUUGAGAGUAAAAAUAUGUUGACGUAAGUGUAUGUGUGGGUUUUCUUGACCCCGCUCUCACUUCACGUGACUAUAAUCACGAUAUAUUGAUAAUAAGUCAGGUGGUCUAGGGAUAGCCUAAAAUUUUAAUGAUACCCCGAAUAACUCUACGAAUUGUUACCAUCACGGAAAAGUUACUAUCAUAAAAAGAAAAAACAAACACUUAAUGAGUUAUAUUGGCACUGAGUAAAAGGGCACAUUCAAGGGCCUUUAAUCAGUUGCGAUUUAUGUAGUAAAAACUGAAUGUUAUUUUUAAUGUCGUACGUAUUUUUUUUAUCUUGUGACGUCGUCUCAUAAAUAUAAGAG
rnacentral:misc_RNA from 1 species